rnacentral:rRNA from 1 species
AGUGAACGCUGGCGGCAGGCCUAACACAUGCAAGUCGAACGGCAGCACGGCAGUAGCAAUACUGUGGGUGGCGAGUGGCGGACGGGUGAGGAAUACAUCGGGAUCUACCCUGUUGUGGGGGAUAACGUAGGGAAACUUACGCUAAUACCGCAUAAGAACUGAGGUUGAAAGCGGCGGACCGCAAGGCGUCGCGCGAUUGGAUGAACCGAUGUCCGAUUAGCUAGUUGGCGGGGUAAAGGCCCACCAAGGCGACGAUCGGUAGCUGGUCUGAGAGGACGACCAGCCACACUGGAACUGAGACACGGUCCAGACUCCUACGGGAGGCAGCAGUGGGGAAUAUUGGACAAUGGGCGCAAGCCUGAUCCAGCCAUGCCGCGUGGGUGAAGAAGGCCUUCGGUUGUAAGACCUUUGUUCCGGAAGAAAGACA